rnacentral:lncRNA from 1 species
CUUAGAAAAGGAUCAGACUGUUACUGUAUUAUGUUUUGAUUCUCUCAUUAGCCAGUUGUGUAUCUGUGGGCCCAAUUGCUAAAUCCUAGGUAAUGCCAUUUACUGGAAGUUGUUUUUUUUUUUUUUUUAAUGACAGCAAAUGUAAGAUAUACUUAAAGCUUGUUAUAGAAUAUAGUGGUCUUAAAAGAUAGUGGUCUGCUCGCCUCUUUCUCAGAUUCUCCAAUAUAUAAAUAAUUGAUAUUGGAAAGUAUUGUGAUUCUUUUAACUCUGUUAACAUUUCUUUUUAAUUUUAAAUACACAAAAUUAAAAUUUUAUAAUGCUNNNCUGUCCCUUCCCUUUGUCUUCUAACCCACAAAUGACAUUAUUUUCUUAGGAGAAGCUUCUUUCUUGUCUCUCUUCCUGAGAUGUCUUCAACAAACCACUGAUGAUGGACAAAUACAAAACCAAACUCUCUUUCCCUAUACCUGUGGUCCUCAACUGCAGAACUGUUGGCAUGCAAGGUCAGAUGCCCAUCCAAAGGAAAACUGCCAAGCAAAAGAACUUCUUGCAAAACUCCUCAUAAAUUCUUAAAAGUCUCCUCCUAGUCAGGAGGUCUACCUAAAACAACAAUAAAAAAAGAUGGUAACAAUAACCCUGUAUGCGAGACAGCAAAAGAGACACAG